UAAUAUAUCGGAACGUGCCCAGUAGUGGGGGAUAGCCCGGCGAAAGCCGGAUUAAUACCGCAUACGACCUACGGGUGAAAGGGGGGGAUCGCAAGACCUCUCGCUAUUGGAGCGGCCGAUAUCAGAUUAGCUAGUUGGUGGGGUAAAAGCUCACCAAGGCGACGAUCUGUAGCUGGUCUGAGAGGAUGAUCAGUCACACUGGAACUGAGACACGGUCCAG
rnacentral:rRNA from 1 species